AUUGAACGCUGGCGGCAGGCCUAACACAUGCAAGUCGAACGAGUGGCGGACGGGUGAGUAAUGUCUGGGAAACUGCCUGAUGGAGGGGGAUAACUACUGGAAACGGUAGCUAAUACCGCAUACCAUCGGAUGAGCCCAGAUGGGAUUAGGUAGUAGGUGGGGUAAUGGCUCACCAAGCAGACGAUCCCUAGCUGGUCUGAGAGGAUGACCAGCCACACGGGAACUGAGACACGGUCCAGACUCCUACGGGAGGCAGCAGUGGGGAAUAUUGCACAAUGGGCGCAAGCCUGAUGCAGCCAUGCCGCGUGUAUGAAGAAGGCCUUCGGGUUGUAAAGUACUUUCAGUGAGGAGGCGUUACAUACAGAAGAAGCACCGGCUAACUCCGUGCCAGCAGCCGCGGUAAUAC
rnacentral:rRNA from 1 species